UGAGGAAUAUUGGUCAAUGGGCGAGAGCCUGAACCAGCCAAGUAGCGUGCAGGAUGACGGCCCUAUGGGUUGUAAACUGCUUUUAUGUGGGGAUAAAGUGCGUGACGUGUCAUGCAUUGCAGGUACCACAUGAAUAAGGACCGGCUAAUUCCGUGCCAGCAGCCGCGGUAAUACGGAAGGUCCGGGCGUUAUCCGGAUUUAUUGGGUUUAAAGGGAUCGUAGGCUGUCUAUUAAGCGUGUUGUGAAAUUUACCGGCUCAACCGGUGGCUUGCAGCGCGAACUGGUCGACUUGAGUAUGCAGGAAGUAGGCGGAAUUCAUGGUGUAGCGGUGAAAUGCUUAGAUAUCAUGACGAACUCCGAUUGCGCAGGCAGCUUACUGUAGCAUAACUGACGCUGAUGCUCGAAAGUGCGGGUAUCAAACAGG
rnacentral:rRNA from 1 species